rnacentral:rRNA from 1 species
AGCGAACGCUGGCGGCAGGCUUAACACAUGCAAGUCGAGCGCCCCGCAAGGGGAGCGGCAGACGGGAGAGUAACACGUGGGAACAUACCUUUUGGUUCGGAACAACUUAGGGAAACUUCAGCUAAUACCGGAUAAGCCCUUACGGGGAAAGAUUUAUCGCCUAAAGAUUGGCCCGCGUCUGAUUAGCUAGUUGGUGAGGUAACUGCUCACCAAGGCGACGAUCAGUAUCUGGUCUGAGAGGAUGAUCAGCCUCACUGGGACUGAGACACGGCCCAGACUCCUACGGGAGGGAGGAGAGGGGAAUAUUGGAAAAUGGGGGCAACCCUGAUCCAGCCAUGCCGGGUGAGUGAUGAAGGCCUUAGGGUAGUAAAGCUCUUUUGCCCGGGAAGAUAAUGACGGUACCGGGAGAAUAAGCACCGGCUAACUUCGUG